rnacentral:rRNA from 1 species
GAUGAACGCUGGCGGCGUGCUUAACACAUGCAAGUCGAACGGACUUAUUAUGAAGCCUAGCGAUUAAUAAGUUAGUGGCGGACGGGUGAGUAACGCGUGGGUAACCUGCCUCAUACAGGGGGAUAACACUUAGAAAUAGGUGCUAAUACCGCAUAAGCGCACAGUAUCGCAUGAUACAGUGUGAAAAACUCCGGUGGUAUGAGAUGGACCCGCGUCUGAUUAGCUAGUUGGUGGGGUAACGGCCUACCAAGGCAACGAUCAGUAGCCGGCCUGAGAGGGUGACCGGCCACAUUGGGACUGAGACACGGCCCAAAC